rnacentral:rRNA from 1 species
AGAGUUGAUCCUGGCUCAGAACGAACGCUGGCGGCGCGUCUUAAGCAUGCAAGUCGAACGGCAAGAGGUAGCAAUACCUCCUAGAGUGGCGGACUGGUAAGUAACACGUGGGUGACAUACCCUUCAGAUGGGGAUAGCUAUUAGAAAUAGUAGAUAAUACCGAAUACGAGCACAGGGGUUAGAGAUCUGUGAGGAAAGGAGCUAAGGCUCCGCUGAAGGAAUGGCCUGCGGCCCAUUAGCUAGUUGGUGAGGUAAGAGCCCACCAAGGCGAUGAUGGGUAUCCGGCCUUAGAGGGUGAACGGACACAUUGGGACUGAGAUACGGCCCAGACUCCUACGGGAGGCAGCAGCUAAGAAUAUUCCGCAAUGGACGAAAGUCUGACGGAGCGACGCCGCGUGGAUGAAGAAGGCCGGAAGGUUGUAAAAUCCUUUUGAAACUGAAGAAUAAGCGUUGUAGGGAAUGACAGCGUGGUGACAGUAGGUUUUGAAUAAGCAACGGCUAAUUACGUGCCAGCAGCCGC